rnacentral:rRNA from 1 species
GAUGAACGCUGGCGGCGUGCCUAAUACAUGCAAGUCGAGCGCUCCGCCUCGGUGCUUGCUUCUCUACUGUUAGCUGCUGAAUGGUUAGUCACACAUGUAUAGCCUACCUAUUAGACUGGGCUUACUCUGAGACACCGUAGCUGUUACCAUCUCAUAUAUUCUACCUCAUGAUUCCUACGUGACUGGUAGUUUUUCUGUUUCUUAUACAUUAAUUCGCUCUGCAUUAGCUAGUUGGUAAGGUAACGGCUUACCAAGGCAACGAUGCGUAGCCGACCUGAGAGGGUGAUCGGCCACACUGGAACUGAGACACGGUCCAGACUCCUACGGGAGGCAGCAGUAGGGAAUCUUCCGCAAUGGGGGAAAGCCUGACGGAGCAACGCCGCGUGAGUGAUGAAGGUAUUCGGAACGUAAAACUCUGUUAUAAGGGAAGAACAGAUGAGAAAGGAAAUGAGCACAUAGUGACGGUACCUAAUAAGAAAGCCACGGCUAACUACGUG